rnacentral:rRNA from 1 species
AUUGAACGCUGGCGGCAUGCCUAAUACAUGCAAGUCGAACGGCAGCACGAGUGGCUUCCUCUGCUGGCGUUAGGGGCACGGGUGUGUGUUACAUGUGGACAUGUUCCGUAUACGGGUGUAGUACCUUCGGAGCCCCGGUGCUACUGCCGACGAAUAUCUUGAACCAGCGGGGUCACUUCUGACCUACGGUUUUGCUGUCAGUUGUUGAUUGAUCCGCGGCGCAUUAGCUAGUUGGUAAGGUAACGGCUUACCAAGGCGACGAUGAGUAGCCGAGCUGAGAGGAUGAUCGGCCACACUGGAACUGAGACACGGCCCAGACUCCUACGGGAGGCAGCAGUAGGGAAUUUUCCGCAAUGGGCGAAAGCCUGACGGAGCAAUGCCGCGUGAGUGAAGAAGGUCUUCGGGUCGUAAAGCACUGUUAUUAGGGAAGAACAAAUGUGUAAGUAACCAGGCAGGUCUUGACGGUACCGAAUCAGAAAGCCACGGCUAACUACGUG